UACGGGGGGGGCAAGCGUUGUUCGGAAUUACUGGGCUUAAAGGGCUCGUAGGCGGCCAACUAAGUCGGAUGUGAAAUCCCCAGGCUUAACCUGGGAACUGCAUCCGAUACUGGAUGGCUUGAAUCCGGGAGAGGGAUGCAGAAUUCCUGGUGUAGCGGUGAAAUGCGUAGAUAUCAAGAGGAACACCUGAGGUGAAGACGGGUUGCUGGUCUAACACUGACGCUGAGGCGCGAAAGCCAGGGGAGCAAACGGG
rnacentral:rRNA from 1 species